UUCCCCUUCGGGGGGACAGGGUGACAGGUGGUGCAUGGUUGUCGUCAGCUCGUGUCGUGAGAUGUUGGGUUAAGUCCCGCAACGAGCGCAACCCUCGACCUUAGUUGCCAGCAUUCAGUUGGGCACUCUAAGGUGACUGCCGGCUAAAAGUCGGAGGAAGGUGGGGAUGACGUCAAAUCAUCAUGCCCCUUAUGACCUGAGCUACACACGUGCUACAAUGGGCGGUACAAAGGGUCGCGAACCCGCGAGGGGGAGCCAAUCCCAAAAAGCCGCUCUCAGUUCGGAUUGCAGGCUGCAACUCGCCUGCAUGAAGCCGGAAUCGCUAGUAAUCGCGGAUCAGCACGCCGCGGUGAAUACGUUCCCGGGCCUU
rnacentral:rRNA from 1 species